UACGUAGGGGGCUAGCGUUGUCCGGAAUCAUUGGGCGUAGAGCGCGUGUAGGCGGUCCGGUAAGUCCGCUGUGAAAGUCGGGGGCUCAACCCUCGGAUGCCGGUGGAUACUGUCGGGCUUGAGUACGGAAGAGGCGAGUGGAAUUCCUGGUGUAGCGGUGAAAUGCGCAGAUAUCAGGAGGAACACCAAUUGCGAAGGCAGCUCGCUGGGACGUUACUGACGCUGAGACGCGAAGGCGUGGGGAGCAAACAGG
rnacentral:rRNA from 1 species